CAGAGGAAACAUGAGAGUUCAGAGCAUAUUCAACCUAUGGCAGGUAUGAGCACCAGUCUGUUGGAUUAGUAGAAGUAAGAUAGUGUACACUGAAAAAAAGGAAACUGGCAUCUGUUGAAUCCAUGCAAACGUCUUUAUUAACUUUAACAAGAUUGUUUUAUGUACUGAAAGAAAAUGUGAUGGCAUUGUGUAGAUACUACAUAAUAUACAUAGUCUGUGUUUUAACAUGUUCAAUUCAUCUUGGGAUAAAGUGAAUCACUCAUGUUAGUACAAGGUUUCUCACGAUAUUGCUCUCCUAAAACGAGAAAGUUUAAAAGAAAAUCCCGCCCAACGGUAUCUGACUCCUUUACAUCCCCAACUAAGCAAGUGCAAGGUGCAGCUCAGCUGGGUAAGUAUGGAAUCUAUUUCAGUAUUAACUAAGCAGCGAUGUUUAAUAUAUUCUCGGAUAGCAACAAGAAAGACCAGUUUUUAAGGGAUAUAUUCUUGUCGUGCUGUUUAAUGGGCAUAUCCAGAGUUUCAGCUGCCAUUAUUAAAUGCGCCACUUUCUGUGCAAGCUAACAUUUUGUUGCUAACUAAAUGUUCCCAACUUGUUAAAUCUAACAGACCAGGUCAUGAACAGGCAGAAUGAAUGACUUUGUAUAAAUAAGCUGUGCCAUAUUUCGUGCUGUUGCGACGGCGUUUGUAAAGUUAUUAACGUUAAGGCGUGGCUCCCUUGUAAUUUUUCACCAUGCUAAUGCUGUUUGCUAAAUUAGCAUAUGCUCUCAAAUAUUUGAUGUUUAGUUGACUAGCGUUGUUGGACAACCAGGAGCACAUCUAGUGUUUCUGGCCAUUUUUCCGACAGUACAGAGAUUACUUAAUGGGGCCAUUAAUGGAAUGCUGCAAAGUACAUUUUCGUUUGCUCAUCUAUUUAAUGUUGGCUGCAGUCAUAUUAGUAAGAGGCGGGAAAAAGACGCUUUGUCCAUCACCAAAGGCUCUGGCUUGAGAGCAGGUACUCUGUAAGCGGAGGGAUACGGGAUUCUCGUUUUUCCCUCAAACCUAAUCAAAUACACAAUCUAAAAACUUCAAAAUGCUGUCGUGGACACUUUGUGACCUGUACAUUCACCACGCUAUGAAAUAAUAACGUAUAAUUAUGUAAUAUUACGAGACAUGAAGCAAAUACUCGUAACUACAUUCCUAGGAUGGGUGUAGCUGUACACCACGCGCGCUUUUGAAAUCCCUCCGCACAGCAUCCGUCUCUGGAAUGUAGUUCAGGUUCUGUGCGAAGUUCUGUUUCCUGAACUUCUUUAGGUUUUGGCUAGAAAACAACUAUGUCUCGUGAUGUUACGUUAUUAUUUUAUAGCGUGGUAAUUAUGUAGUUCACAACUGUUCCACGAGAGCGUUUUUGAGUUGGUGGAUUGUGGAUUUGAGGCAAAGGUAAAAGUUCCGUUCACUGCAUUGUUUUUUUUGCUGCAGAUUGACAGACCAAAUCCAUCUCUGGAUAUCCUGUUGUCAAGUCUUUUGCUGUGGGCUCUAGUGUUUGUGGUGUGAAUGAUGCUGUGAAUGUGGCCCUGUAAAGCAUGCCCCUCAGUUCUACCAAGAUGACAUUGAUACUACCACGGAGAGUCUCAUAAGAGGACUCUGCAUUUUCUUCAUCGAGGACCCUGAUGACCUUAUGCAGGAGUACAUGGACAUGACUAAGUCUACUACACCGCAGUGCCAUAGAAGCAACAACUGUUGGAAUCUACAUAUCUAGAGGAACUCCCAACAGUGACAAUAAGUGCAAUGUGUGCAUCAAACUCCAUUUAUAAUAUAAUGCUGUUCUACAACGGAUGUAAAAUGUGCCAUUUUGACAGUUCGUCCAGGUUAUAGAAUAUAAUGUGUGGGUAGGGAGGGGUGGUGGGAUCUGAUACCAGUUUUGUUGUACGUAUUGGAGCAAUGUGUGCAUCAAUACACCAUUUAUAAUGUAAUGCUGUGCCAUGUUGACUGUUCUUCCAGGUUAUAAAAUAAAAUGACUGCACCAAUGAGCCAAUGCAAUAAUUGUUAAUGAGCGUUUGCAUUUAAAAACAAACUGACAUUUCAUGUGUGUGGGGGUCCAGAUACCAGUUUUGUUGAACGUUUUGGUGCAAAUUCUUUUUAAUCAAUACACCAUUUAUAAUGGCUGUAAAAUGUGCCAUUUUAACUUUUUGCAAGUCAUUGAAUAAAAGCUUUUAUUGUGUCAAAA